rnacentral:rRNA from 1 species
AACGUAGGUGGCGAGCGUUAUCCGGAAUUACUGGGCGUAAAGCGUGCGCAGGCGGUUUUGUAAGCCAGGUGUGAAAUCCCCGGGCUCAACCUGGGAAUGGCAUUUGGGACUGCAAGGCUGGAGUGCGGCAGAGGAGACUGGAAUUUCUGGUGUAGCAGUGAAAUGCGUAGAUAUCAGGAGGAAUACCGAUGGCGAAGGCAGGUCUCUGGGCUGACACUGACGCUCAUGCACGAAAGCGUGGGGAGCAAACAGG